rnacentral:rRNA from 1 species
GACGGAGGAUGCAAGCGUUAUCCGGAAUGAUUGGGCGUAAAGCGUCCGCAGGUGGCAGUUCAAGUCUGCUGUCAAAGACCGGGGCUUAACUUCGGAAAGGCAGUGGAAACUGAACAGCUAGAGUAUGGUAGGGGCAGAGGGAAUUCCUGGUGUAGCGGUGAAAUGCGUAGAGAUCAGGAAGAACAUCGGUGGCGGAGGCGCUCUGCUGGACCAUAACUGACACUCAGGGACGAAAGCUAGGGGAGCGAAUGGG